GGACUCUUGGCUCAGUGGUAAAAUAUAUGCCUUCUAUGUACAAAGUCCAGGUUCAAAUCUUGAAAUUCA